rnacentral:rRNA from 1 species
UGAGGAAUCUUGCGCAAUGGGGGGAACCCUGACGCAGCAACGCCGCGUGAGUGAGGAAGGUCUUCGGAUCGUAAAGCUCUGUCGGAUGGGAAGAAAUGUGUAUUGGUUAAUACCCGGUACAUUUGACGGUACCAUCAAAGGAAGCACCGGCUAACUCCGUGCCAGCAGCCGCGGUAAUACGGGGGGUGCAAGCGUUGUUCGGAAUCAUUGGGCGUAAAGGGCGUGUAGGCGGCUAGAUAAGUCAGAUGUGAAAUCCCUGGGCUUAACCCAGGAAGUGCAUUUGAAACUGGUUGGCUUGAGUAAGGGAGAGGAAAGUGGAAUUCCUGGUGUAGAGGUGAAAUUCGUAGAUAUCAGGAGGAACACCGGUGGCGAAGGCGACUUUCUGGCCCUAUACUGACGCUGAGACGCGAAAGCGUGGGUAGCAAACA